AUUGAACGCUGGCGGCAGGCUUAACACAUGCAAGUCGAACGAGUGGCGGACGGGUGAGUAAUGCUUGGGAAUCUAGCUUAUGGAGGGGGAUAACUACGGGAAACUGUAGCUAAUACCGCGUACCAUAGGAUGAGCCCAAGGGGGAUUAGGUAGUUGGUGAGGUAAAGGCUCACCAAGCCGACGAUCUCUAGCUGGUCUGAGAGGAUGACCAGCAACACGGGGAAUGAGACACGGCCCCGACUCCUACGGGAGGCAGCAGUGGGGAAUCUUUGGCAAUGGGGGAAACCUGACGGAGCCAGGCCGCGGGAAUGAAGAAGGCCUUCGGGUUGUAAAGUUCUUUCGGUAGCGAGGCGUUAACUACAGAAAAAGCACCGGCUAACUCCGUGCCAGCAGCCGCGGUAAUUC
rnacentral:rRNA from 1 species